CAGCAGCCCACGCCGCGGAACUCGCAGGGCAGACCCGGACUUGAGCACGCUAACAAUCGUUAGGAAGAGCGUCGCCCUCCACGCCUUCUGAGCAGCUCCAGUUUCGUAGCGCCCUCGUGUGUCUGGAGGAAGAAACGUCCUGGAUUUGAGUUUGACAGUGAGGAGACUCAAUGGCGGCGCGUGAAAGGAUCCAGAAGAAACCACAAGCAGUCGAAAUCCAAGGCACCUGUCUUCUCCAAAAGUUGUUGAAGUCACUUCCAUGUCUGCAUGCCCACCAGCUAUGGUUGUGUAUAGCCAUGUGAAUUAACUAUUGGAGAAUUAUCAUCUAUUUUGACUUUGGAAACUAUUGAUACGGUCUAAGGGUUUUGGAAUGAUAUAGUCUAGGAGUCUUGGUCAGGUUUGUUGUUUCUGCCAGCCGAAGAAUUAAAAGGCAGGAAAAAUCUGAAGACCAGCAUGGAGCAGCAGAGAAAUCUUAAGCAUCGUGGACAGAAUUAGGAGUAGAAGGAAGGAUGGAUGCGAUAAUCUGAGGAAUGGAUGCAGUCACAUCCCACCCUCCCCAAGCGAGUUCUGUAGGCACCACGUUCACCAGCAGAGAGAGCCCUCUGUGAGGCCCACGUGCAGAGUCCUUGUGUCAAGAGCUGCUGAACAGCAGGAAGCCCGUGAACGUGGUAUCGUCAUCCUCGUCUGCAAAUAAGCCAUUGAACCUCUCUCCUCCUGUCACCUGCAUCCACACUUCGUCCCCGAGUUUCAGCUCCUGCACAAUGCCACCAGACGCCUGGUCCUCAGAGCUCAUGUAACUGUCCUUGGUGUGCAGGACUUUUACCCCGUUUUUGACCAAAGAUACCUGCACAUUCCUGGAGAACACAGUGAUAUGGUGUGGGGUGACAAGCAGCUGGGGACAUCCUUCAUCCCUCAGGACCAGAGAGUGACAUAGGCUGAUAUGCAUCUCUAAUGCCUGGAGUUCUGAAGCUCCCAAGCAAGCCCUGGAUCCCACUGAAUCACAGAGGAGAGACUAGCCUCCACUCCACCAUCCACUGAAUCACAGAGACGAGCCUCCACCCCACUAUCCCCAACCCUCUGCACCACCCCAAAGCCCGAGUCUUCCUACCCUAACUUCUCUUUUUCCCUGCCUACUUCCCAGUUCUUGUAUUCUGUAGCAUGGUCUCAAAGCUUUUAUGAUCAUACAGGCCAGGGCAUGGACAUCUACCUGAACAACUGUGAAUGUGUAUGUCAUGGCACUGAACAAUGUGUUGAUUCUAUAAAACACACGGCACAUCUUCAAAGGACCAGGUGAAGGAGCAGCAGAUCCUCCUGCCAAGCACCGUGCGUUAACAUCACUCUUAAGAAACAGCACAUUAAGUAUACAUAUAUGUAUACACACACACAU
rnacentral:lncRNA from 1 species